CGCAUCGCCAUGGCAACGGACUCUUCCGUGGGAAUAACGAACUCUCAAAAGUGCGGCAAAUUGGAGAGGGACCUGCUGAGUGCCAGCUGGGGCUCCAGGGAGGCGGGGGGAUGGGCGGUCUGCAGGGAGUGGAGGGGGUUGCCUUGACAGGCGACCCCAAGCCUGGAUUCAGGGCUGCAUGCAUUCCCUGGAAGUCAGAUGGGGCCACACACGCGGGACACGUGAUGUGAUGUGCUGCUCUCCCCUGGCCUCCGGGUCCCGUCCGCUGACUCAUUUAGAAGGGCCGCCGCCCAGUGACAGCCCAGGCUGAGGGGGGCGCUUCCCACUCCCCUAGCAGACAUGGUGGCAGCUAACGGCUUUCCUGGCGGGACACCCAGCCCCGUGGCUUGUCCAGCACAGGAAUUCUGCUCGUCCUUUCCUGAACUGUGGCAGGCAAGAAUACUGGAGUAGGUUGCCAUGCCCUCCUCUGGGGAAUCUUCCUGACCCAGAGAGAAAACCAGCAUCUCUUGUGUCUCCUGCAUUGGCAGCUAAUCUGAUGUCCACUGAGCCAGGAAAGAAGGCAACAGGAGUCAGGUUACAUGGCACCCAGGACUCCUUUAUUGUGAGCUGAGUCUGUUACAGAGAAGUAUGGGAUGUACUCUUCUUUGAGUUCCUAAUCCCAGACAAACUUUCCAUAGCAGUGGCUGCGGGUCUUACCUGUUAGAAACCAUGUACGCUUCUCCCUGACUGGCCAUUCAGUCCUGUGUUCAUUUGUUUGUUUACUCAUUUGUUCCCUCGUUGCUGUCAUACAUUUAGAAUAAAACAUGAAGUCCUCAUCAUGGCUUUCAAGGCUCCUGGCAGCUUCUCCAGCCUCAUUUCUUACCACUCCCCACUCAGUCUGAUUUCUGUCUAAUUGUCACACACAUCAAACAUCGUUGAGUUUCAGGGUCUUUGCACUUGCUGGGAGGACUUAUCUGUUUCACGCAUCUCUCAUGCUCCAGCAGGCUAACCUGGGCUUGCUUUCAUGGUAACCUAGCAAGUUUCUGAGAGAGAAGAGAGAGGACCAAGGCCACCCAGGCCUAGGUUUGGAACUGGCACUUGGUCACAGCUUUCACAUCUUACUGGCCAGAGCAGGUCACAGAGAAAUGGGGAUGGGGAAAUGCCAAAGGCUGUAUGGGGGAGAGACUUAACAGUGGCUGCUGUAACCCCUGCCUCCUGUUGUCCAUGACCUCGUAUAAUCCCUCCUUGAGGGUGAGCUGGACCUGUGCUUCUAUCUGUAUGAUCGACUAUGAUAACGGUAAGGGAACAUCAUCGUUAUGAUUAGAUUACAUUACCCAAGACUCUCUUAGCAAACCGGGUACUAGAGACCCUCAUUAUGAGCUCAAUGAAAGAUGCAGCCAUGUUGGAGAAGCUUGUAUGUCAAGGAACUGUGAAAAGACUCCAGGACACUGGGGUGUCCCCAGCCCACAGCCAGAAUGGAACUGGGUUUUCAGUAUAGCCAUCGAAAGUGAACUCUGCAGAGAACCUGAAUGAGCCUGGAAACAGAUUUUUCCCCAGCUGAGCCUCCGGAUGAUGAUGCAGCCUUGUGAGAUCCCAAGCAGAAAACUCAGUCCAGACUCCUGGAUAUGGAAAGUCUGAGAUAAUAAAUG
ensembl:lncRNA